GAUGAACGCUGGCGGCGUGCCUAAUACAUGCAAGUCGAGCGAACAGACGAGGAGCUUGCUCCUCUGACGUUAGCGGCGGACGGGUGAGUAACACGUGGAUAACCUACCUAUAAGACUGGGAUAACUUCGGGAAACCGGAGCUAAUACCGGAUAAUAUAUUGAACCGCAUGGUUCAAUAGUUAAAGACGGUUUUGCUGUCACUUAUAGAUGGAUCCGCGCCGCAUUAGCUAGUUGGUAAGGUAACGGCUUACCAAGGCAACGAUGCGUAGCCGACCUGAGAGGGGGAUCGGCCACACUGGAACUGAGACACGGUCCAGACUCCUACGGGAGGCAGCAGUAGGGAAUCUUCCGCAAUGGGCGAAAGCCUGACGGAGCAACGCCGCGUGAGUGAUGAAGGUCUUCGGAUCGUAAAACUCUGUUAUUAGGGAAGAACAAAUGUGUAAGUAACUAUGCACGUCUUGACGGUACCUAAUCAGAAAGCCACGGCUAACUACGUG
rnacentral:rRNA from 1 species